rnacentral:rRNA from 1 species
AUGGGAAACAGGUUAAUAUUCCUGUACUUGGUGUUACUGCGAAGGGGGGACGGAGAAGGCUAUGUUAGCCGGGCGACGGUUGUCCCGGUUUAAGCAUGUAGGCUGGUUAUCCAGGCAAAUCCGGAUAACCAAGGCUGAGGUGUGAUGACGAGGCACUACGGUGCUGAAGUAACAAAUGCCCUGCUUCCAGGAAAAGCCUCUAAGCAUCAGGUAACAUCAAAUCGUACCCCAAACCGACACAGGUGGUCAGGUAGAGA